GUGGAAUUGCUAUCGCUCAACGGAUAAAAGGUACUCUAGGGAUAACAGGCUGAUCGCGCCCAAGAGUUCAUAUCGACGGCGCGGUUUGGCACCUCGAUGUCGGCUCGUCGCAUCCUGGGGCUGGAGAAGGUCCCAAGGGUCCGGCUGUUCGCCGGUUAAAGCGGCACGCGAGCUGGGUUCAGAACGUCGCGAGACAGUUCGGUCCUCUAUCCUCUGUGGGCGUAGGAGAAUUGAGGGGUUCAAACCCUAGUACGAGAGGACCGGGUUUGACGCACCACUGGUGCACCAGUUGUUCCGUCAGGAGCACGGCUGGGUAGCUAAGUGCGGAAGAGAUAAGCGCUGAAAGCAUCUAAGCGCCAAGCUCCUCCCAAGAUAAGUUCUCCCCGAAGGAUCGUGGAAGACCACCACGUCGAUAGGCUGCGAGUGUAAGUUCAGUAAUGGAUUCAGCUCAGCAGUACUAAUCAUCCGUUUGGCUUGUUUCA
rnacentral:rRNA from 1 species